rnacentral:rRNA from 1 species
UACGUAGGGUCCGAGCGUUUGUCCGGAAUUACUGGGCGUAAAGAGCUCGUAGGCGGUUUGUCGCGUCGUCCGUGAAAACUUGGGGCUCAACCCCAAGCUUGCGGGCGAUACGGGCAGACUUGAGUACUGCAGGGGAGACUGGAAUUCCUGGUGUAGCGGUGAAAUGCGCAGAUAUCAGGAGGAACACCGGUGGCGAAGGCGGGUCUCUGGGCAGUAACUGACGCUGAGGAGCGAAAGCGUGGGUAGCAAACAGG